ACCAGUACUUAGUAUUAAGGUGUGCUAACAUGUUUAUAUAUGGCACAUAAAGGGGGAAGUUCGGUCAAAAUCCGACGCUGUCCCGCAACGGUAAGAUUAAUUGUUAAUUAAGCCCGAGAACCCGCCUUAACUAUCGCUUGUAU
rnacentral:ncRNA from 2 species